UACGAAGGGGGCUAGCGUUGCUCGGAAUCACUGGGCGUAAAGCGCACGUAGGCGGCUUUCUAAGUCAGGGGUGAAAUCCUGGAGCUCAACUCCAGAACUGCCUUUGAUACUGGGAAGCCCGAGUCCGGAAGAGGUAAGUGGAACUCCGAGUGUAGAGGUGAAAUUCGUAGAUAUUCGGAAGAACACCAGUGGCGAAGGCGGCUUACUGGUCCGGUACUGACGCUGAGGUGCGAAAGCGUGGGGAGCAAACAGG
rnacentral:rRNA from 1 species